rnacentral:rRNA from 1 species
GGGGUUGUAGGACCGCGACAUUGUAUGCAAAUCGUGAACAGAACACUUUGGAAAAUGUGACCAUAGACGGUGAUAGUCCAGUAUGUGAAGCGAAAUGCAGCAUAGCGGUAUCCUGAGUAACGCGGGACACGAGGAAUCCUGCGCGAAUCUGCCGGGACCAUCCGGUAAGGCUAAAUACUCCCGUGAGACCGAUAGCGAACGAGUACUGUGAAGGAAAGGUGAAAAGAACCCCGAGCAGGGGAGUGAAAUAGUUCCUGAAACCAUACGCCUACAAGCGGUCGGAGCAUCGUAAGAUGUGACGGCGUGCCUUUUGCAUAAUGAUCCUACGAGUUACCGUCACUGGCGAGGUUGAGUGUCACGAGACACGUAGCCGCAGUGAAAGCGAGCCUGAAGAGGGCGCACAGUCAGUGGGGGUAGACGCGAAACCAAGUGAUCUACACUUGGCCAGGAUGAAGUCCCGGUAACACGGGAUGGAGGUCCGCACCAAUAAGCGUUGAAAAGCUUCUGGAUGAGCCGAGUGUAGGAGUGAAAGGCCAAUCAAACUUGGAGAUAGCUCGUACUCCCCGAAAGGCAUUUAGGUGCCGCGUCGGAUGGUCACCGUGAGAGGUAGAGCGACCGAUAGGACAAGAGGGCUUCACCGCCUAUCGAGUCCUGACGAACUCCGAAUGCUCACGGUCUGCAGUCCGGCAGUAAGGGGGCGGGUGCUAAGGUCCGUCCCCGAGAGGAGAAGAAUCCAGACCGCCGUCUAAGGUCCCGGAGUUCUGCCUGAGUUAGUCUAACGAAGUCUGGUCCCUAUGACAGCUAGGAUGUUGGCUUGGAAGCAGCCAUUCAUUCAAAGAGUGCGUAACAGCUCACUAGUCGAGGGUCCGGGCAUGGAUAAUAAUCGGGUAUAAGGCAGACACCGAAGGCGCGGGAUAGCAAUUUUAAAAGUAUCGGUAGGGGAGCAUACUCACAGCGUCGAAUGGUGUACGUAAGUUAUCCUGGAGCGGUGAGUAAAGCAAAUGUAGGAAUAAGUAACGAUAAGGAGGGUUAGAUUCCCUCCCGCUGUAAGACCAAGGUUUCCCGGGCAAUGCCAAUCAGCCCGGGGUCAGUCGGGUCCUAAGUCUAAGCCGAACGGCGAUGGCGAUGGCAGAGACGGUUAAUAUUCCGUCACUGCCGCAUGGGGCGAUGUGGAGACGGAGCAGUGAAACCACCGCGGGGCGACGGAAGUCCCCGUUGAAGGGUGUAGGCGUUGAGGAAGGCAGGCAAAUCCACCUUCCGAGCUGAACCUGACAGUACGGAGUCCUCCUCGGAGGAAUCUGAUAGUGUGGGUAAUCAUACUCCCGAGAAAAUCCGCUAAGCUUAACCCAUGCGGCACCCGUACCGCAAACGGACACACGUGGUCGGGUAGAACAUACUAAGGCGUUGAGAGAUUCAUGGUUAAGGAACUAGGCAAAUUGACCCUGUAACUUCGGGAUAAAGGGUCCUCGUGAUGAGCGAGGCGCAGAGAAUAGGUCCAGGCAACUGUUUAACAAAAACACAGGGCUGUGCAAACUCGAAAGAUGACGUAUACAGCCUGACACCUGCCCGGUGCCGGAAGGUUAAGAGGAGAUGUCACUCGCAAGAGGAAGCAUUGAAUUGAAGCCCCGGUAAACGGCGGCCGUAACUAUAACGGUCCUAAGGUAGCGAAAUUCCUUGUCGGGUAAGUUCCGACCUGCACGAAUGGUGUAAUGAUCCGGACGCUGUCUCAACCAUGAGCUCAGUGAAAUUGUAGUAUCGGUGAAGAUGCCGAUUACCCGCGAUGGGACGAAAAGACCCCGUGAACCUUUACUACAGCUUAGCAUUGACCUUGGUCAUCCGAUGUGUAGGAUAGGCCGGAGGCUUUGAAGCGGGAGCGCCAGCUUUCGUGGAGCCAUCCUUGAAAUACGGCCCUUUGGCUGUCUGAGGUCUAACGCGCAGAUGCGCGGACACUGCUUGGUGGGUAGUUUGACUGGGGUGGUCGCCUCCAAAAGCGUAACGGAGGCUUCCAAAGGUGCCCUCGGGUCGAUUGGUAACCGACCUCAAAGAGUGCAAUGGCAUAAGGGCGCUUGACUGGGAGGCAGACAUGCCGAGCAGGCAGGAAACUGGGGCAUAGUGAUCCGGCGGAUGUGUAUGGAAACUCCGUCGCUCAAAGGAUAAAAGGUACUCCGGGGAUAACAGGCUGAUCCCCCCCAAGAGCUCAUAUCGACGGGGUGGUUUGGCACCUCGAUGUCGGCUCGUCACAUCCUGGGGCUGGAGAAGGUCCCAAGGGUUGGGCUGUUCGCCCAUUAAAGUGGCACGCGAGCUGGGUUCAGAACGUCGUGAGACAGUUCGGUCUCUAUCUAUCGUGGGCGUGGGAGUUUUGAGUGGUGCCGUCACUAGUACGAGAGGACCGUGAUGGACAGACCUCCGGUUUACCAGUUGUGCCGCCAGGCGCACCGCUGGGUAUCUGAGUCUGGAUUGGAUAAGCGCUGAAAGCAUCUAAGUGCGAAGCCAGCCGCAAGAUGAGAACUCCAUUGAGGGUCGUCA